rnacentral:lncRNA from 1 species
CUGAAUUGACUACAGGGGAAAAUAAUUGGGGGAAAGAGCGAUGAGGAAAGUGGGGGAGGAAAUGUCUCCCUCAGAUGCAAAGGCAUUUCCCUUCCCUUCCCUCCCCUUCGCCCCGGCUUACAUUUUCUGCACGGGUUUCCGCCGCUUGCGGCUGGCGUAGGUGACAUUGGGGUUCAUCCUCCUGCUGCUCCCGCUGCUCCCGCCGCGGCUCCAGCGCCUCCGGCCUCAAGAGAUUGUUAUUUGUGUGUGUCAAAUGUAUACGCUUCAAAACACACACACCAAAAGCACCCCACCCCACCCCCCCACCCCCUUUGAGGCCUCCCACCAGCGAGUGGUAAAGGCAGAAUCUCCUCAGAGAAGAAGCAGGUCGCGCGGCCCGGCCUCCUCCGCCCCGCCGUCAAUCCCACUCCAGAGUCCCUUCUUCGGCUGAGAGGAAGGGAGGGAGGAGGGGAGCCAGGUGCUUGGCGCCGGCAACACCCACUCGUCGCCGCCGUCGUCGUCCUCCUCGCUCCGUUUUCGGGGCGGAGAGACAGGUGCGGAGGCGGCCACUCCGUCCCUCCUCCUUCUCCUCAGAGAGAGAGAGAGAAGCCUCCCUUCUCUUCCUUUCCCGUCAGCACAGCCGCCGUCCUCAGGGAGGAAGGAGGGCCUCGCCUCACGCACAGGCGCUCCCUCCGUUUAUUCGCUCUUUCUGCCUCGGUCUCAGCGUCGGGAGCCGAGCCUUCGCUCUCCUUGCAGGCCCGGCCCACCGCCCACCGAGCAGCAGCAGCAGCAGGAGGAGGAGGCCUCGGUGGGGAGGCGCCGGGAGGCGUCAAGGGGGCGGCGCGGCGCCAUGUUGGGAAGAGAUCAAAGAAAGACCUGGCCUUCCUCACUGGUUGGAAAAGCAGACUUCCAUUUGGUCCCAAGCAAGAAAGUCAAGCAACACAUGCCAUAUACUAAUUUCCAGAGGUUAGUCUUGUUAGUCUGUUGUAGCAAAAACAAUGAAGUCUUGAAGUUUUAUUUGACAUAGGGCUUCAAACAAUAUAGCUUCUGAAACAUAAGCCAAAUAAAACCCAUUAUCUCUAAGGUGCCCCAAAAUCCUCUGUUGUGUAGACAUAAUGCCUCAUGUGUUAAUGGUGCUUGUAGAUUUUACAUGUGCACUGGAGACAUUGGAGUCACCAUAUUUCAUGCAUUCUACCUUUCCUUUUCUCAAAAUAGACAAGCCCUCAGCUACAAAAUUGUGUAUAUUUACCUGAGAGCAGAUUCCACUGAAAAUUAAGAGAAUAAAAUUUCACCAGUAAUUAACCACUGUAUCCUAUCAAAUAUGAAAUAACUGAACUGAUGUGAUGCAUCAGUUAUUGUAACUGAAAAGACACAUAUGAACAUUUUACCACAAUAACCACACGUCAAGAUGGAGACGUUUUCAUUUUUUGACACAUUUACCACUGAAAUGUUUAACGAUCCAUGUCCAGACCAGAAACUUCACCAAUCUGAUUAAGAAAAAAUUUAAGAGAAGAAACAUUUUUACUUUUUCAUUUUAGAAUCAUUGAGUUGGAAAAGACCACAAGAGCCAUCCAGUUCAACUCCCCACCAUACAGGAACACCCAAUCAAACACUCCUGACAGAUGGUCAUCCAGCCUGUUUAAAAGCCUCCAGAGAAAAAAACUCCACCACAGUCCAAGGAAGAAUAUUCCACUGCCAAACAGCUCUUACCAUCAGGAAGUUUUUCCUAAUGUUUAAGUGGGAAAACUUUAGGAAGAACUUCCUGACAAUUAGAGCUAUUUGACAGUCUUUCUAUCUGGGUGGCAUGACUUUCUCAUAUCAUAUGCCCUUCAAAGUGACAAAGUCUUGUGGAAGUUUAUUUUUCCACUCUGCUUUAGAUUGUCGAAUUCAUAUUUAGUAAUUCUCCAUUCUGACCUGUAUGAUUUCCAGUCUUCAUUUUUUAUCAUUUUGACCCUUCAGGUUAGAUGUUUCUCUAAGGUCCAAAUUAGAUGGGAUUCACGUAGUUAAUGGUUUCAUAAAGUGCCUUUUAAAAAGUCAUGGCAGAUGCAGCACCCCAGUUCACAAUGGACUUUGUGCAAGUGGGGAGGAAGGGAUUUAACCUUCGAUAACUUUUGUUGCACUGAUCCAAUCAAGCUCCAAUACCAUUUUUGUCCUUGUUGGAGGCCACCAAAUCUAGAGCAGACUUAUCAUAGAAUCAUAGAAUAGUAGAGUUGGAAGAGACCUCAUGGGCCAUCCAGUCCAACCCCCUGCCAAGAAGCAGGAAAUCGCAUUCAAAGCACCCCCGACAGAUGGCCAUCCAGCCUCUGUUUAAAAGCCUCCAAAGAAGGAGCCUCCACCACAGUCGGGGGAGAGAGUUCCACUGCCGAACAGCCCUCACAGUGAGGAAGUUCUUCCUGAUGUUCAGGUGGAAUCUCCUUUCCUGUAGUUUGAAGCCAUUGUUCCGUGUCCUAGUCUGCAGGGCAGCAGAAAACAAGCUUGCUCCCUCUUCCCUAUGACUUCCCUUCACGUAUUUGUACAUGGCUAUCAUGUCUCCUCUCAGCCUUCUCUUCUGCAGGCUAAACAUGCCGAGCAAUUUAAGACGCUCCUCAUAGGGCUUGUUCUCCAGACCCUUAAUCAUUUUAGUCGCCCUCCUCUGGACGCUUUCCAGCUUAUCAACAUCUCCCUUCAACUGCGGUGCCCAGAAUUGGACGCAGUAUUCCAGGUGUGGUCUGACCAAGGUAGAAUAUCAAAAUAAAUAAGCUGUACAUCUGUAAUACCUGAAUGAGAACUUUCUGUAGGAGCUGAACAGGACUGUUGAGACUAGUACAGGCAUCGGAAAACUUUGGCCAUUCAAAUGUUUUAGACUUCAACUGUCACAAUUCCUAAUAGCCAGUUAGCUGCUGGGAUUUCUGAGAGCUGAAGUACAAAACAUUCGGAGGGCCAAAAUUUGCCCAUGCCUGUUCUAUAUUGUGGUUCAUGAAAGCUAAUACAGUACGGAGUUCCCAUGCCAUCGCAGUAUCUCUCUUAAGAUAUAACUUGUCAAAUUGCUGUUUUUUUGUGCAGGGAUUUUGUUUCACUACACACCUCUGGCACUACUGAAUGACUUGUGUCUCUGUGGCUGUUACAACAAGUGUCCUGCGUGGUGUAAUAUGUAGAUUGUCUGCUAGGACUGGGUUACUUACUAAAGAGUUUAUUGCGAGAACAUGGUCAACCCCUGUUGAGGACUGUGUGGCAAUGAGGGAAGAAAAACAUCUAUUUGAUUCUGCAGUCCUUAGAAAAAGGGUGCAAUAAGUAAGAAAUUGCUCUUCAUUUCUUUAAUUUAUAUACUGCUUUUUCUCUUAUGAAACAAAUGAGGUAAUUUGAUGCUUGUUUGUCAAGAGACAGCACCAAAUGCACAUUCAGUUCCCAUCUCCUUAAAUAAAUAUUAAGGAGUUACACUCUUGUGCUGGCAGAACUGAUGACUUGAAGGUUGGGUUGCUGACUUGAAGGAUGCUGGUUCAAAUCCAACCCAGGGAAAGCAAGGAUGAGCUCCCUCUAGCAAAACAUCCAGGCGUCCCCUGGGCAACGUCCUUGCAGACAGCCAAUUCUCUCACACCAGAAGUGACUUGCAGUUUCUCAAGUCACUCCUGACACAAAAAAUCCUCCUAGAACUUCAUGCAUAUAUGACAUCUAUGGGUGCUGUGUGGUUUUGGGGCUGUAUGGCCCUGUUCUAGCAGCAUUUUCUCCUAAUGUUUCACCUGUAUCUGUAGCUGGGAUCUUCAGAGGAUCCUCUGAAAGGUCAGAAGAAAAUGCUACUAGAACAUGGCCAUACAGCCCAGAAAUCACACAACACCCUGAUAUUUUCUAAUGCUGGAUUUCUACAGUCCCAUUCUUCAAAAAUGGUCCCUUGUACAAAAGAGACUCCCAUUUCAGAGGUUGUUUGACGAGCACAAAGAAAACAAUUUCCUCCUUUAAAAAUGAUUUCUGAUAAUUUAAAAUGAUUUCUGAUACUUGUAUGCCAUCCUUCAUUAUUUUGCUUAUUUGGUCUUUUUAAAACCUCCGUUAUCUGUAAUUUCAUACACACAAGGAAGUGGUUGAAUUGUGGUGGAAAUAGUUGCAAAACGUAUUUACUACAUUGUAGGGUGUUUGUUUUCAGGCAAAAAAAUGAAUGUCCAAAUGACUUUCACCACAGCCUGCCUUCAUCUCCUAUAUAGGCAAGAAGACGAAUGCACAGAUAUGACUUUCUGUAAUAAUAUUUAGAUUAUUUUCCCCUUAUCUAAUGUUUAUCUCCUUCAUUGCUCUUACAUACUGUGAGGCAGAAACCAAAGCUAGCAAAUAAGGAGGAUUACAGCAGACUUUUGCCAGUAGCUAAAUUCAGGAUUAUUGAUGCAUGGAGACAGGUCAAAUGCUGUUGUGAUUUCACAUCAGCUUUCUUCUGCUUUAUUUCCAUAUUUUGAAAACUUCCUUUAGGUUAAGACUGAAAACAUGGGGGAGUCUAUCUUCAGUGCAGAAUGUAAGAAGAUUCUCCUCAUGAAACAAGAGCAGUGUUUUGCCAGUAGGUUAGCCAGAGGGCACAAGAUGAAUUGCUCUCACUUGCUGUUACUAUCCAGAUAGAAAAAUCUCUGUUUCGAUGUACCCUUCACAAGACAUAGAGGGAUUACUCAUUCCUAAUGACAGAUUGUUUCUUAUCCUUAAUGAUGAGUUUUUCCCUGUUCUCUUAUGACUGCCCAUUUAAGACUCUCAGUAAAUAAGACAAACCUAUAGUAAUCCACCACAAUGUUCAUAUAUACAACUUCUCUUGCUAUUAGCUGUCACUAUGUGGCCUUCAGUUCUGACUACUGGUGAACAUAAGGACAAAUGAAAAGCCACACUAGGGACUAUCUAGUCUGGCAUCUAGUUUUCCGAAGUAGUCAAAAGAUGUCCCCAAGAAUCCUAAAAAGCUACUUUAGUCUUCUGUUAUUUUCCUCCAGUCUGUAAUUAUCAUACGG